rnacentral:rRNA from 1 species
CCUACGGGUGGCAGCAGUGAGGAAUAUUGGUCAAUGGGCGGGAGCCUGAACCAGCCAAGCCGCGUGAGGGAAGAAGGUACAGCGUAUCGUAAACCUCUUUUGUCAGGGAACAAAGGCGGGGACUAGUCCCCGGAUGAGGGUCCCUGAAGAAAAAGCAUCGGCUAACUCCGUGCCAGCAGCCGCGGUAAUACGGAGGAUGCGAGCGUUAUCCGGAUUUGUUGGGUUUAAGGGGUGCGCAGGCGGCCUGUUAAGUAAGCGGUAAAAGCCCGGGGCUCAACCCCGGCCCGCCGUUGAAACUGGCAGUCGCGAGUUGGAGAGAAGUAUGCGGAAUGCGCGGUGUAGCGGUGAAAUGCAUAGAUAUCGCGCAGAACUCCGAUUGCGAAGGCAGCAUGCCGGCUCCACACUGACGCUGAGGCACGAAAGCGUGGGUAUCGAACAGGAUUAGAUACCCGAGUAGUC